CCCGCUGAACUUAAGCAUAUCAAUAAGCGGAGGAAAAGAAACCAACAGGGAUUGCCCCAGUAACGGCGAGUGAAGCGGCAACAGCUCAAAUUUGAAAUCUGGCCCUAGGCCCGAGUUGUAAUUUGUAGAGGAUGUUUCUGACGAGGUACCUUCCGAGUUCCCUGGAACGGGACGCCAUAGAGGGUGAGAGCCCCGUACGGUUGGUCGCCAAGUCUCUGUGAGACUCCUUCGACGAGUCGAGUAGUUUGGGAAUGCUGCUCUAAAUGAGAGGUAUACGUCUUCUAAAGCUAAAUAUAGGCCAGAGACCGAUAGCGCACAAGUAGAGUGAUCGACAGAUGAAAAGCACUUUGAGAAGAGGGUUAAAUAGUACGUGAAAUUGUUGAAAGGGAAGCGCAUAUGACCAGACUUGGCCAGGUUAAUCAUCCAUCGUUCUCGGUGGUGCACUUUGCCUGGCCAGGCCAGCAUCAGUUCGCUUUGGGGGAUAAAGACUUUGGGAAUGUGGCUCCCUCGGGAGUGUUAUAGCCCAUUGUGUAAUACCCUGGAGUGGACUGAGGUUCGCGCAUCUGCAAGGAUGCUGGCGUAAUGGUCAUCUGCGACCCGUCUUGAAACACGG
rnacentral:rRNA from 1 species